rnacentral:rRNA from 1 species
CAGCCGUAAACUAUGCGCGUUAGGUGUAUCGGUGACCACGAGUUACCGAGGUGCCGAAGGGAAACCGUGAAACGUGCCGCCUGGGAAGUACGGUCGCAAGGCUGAAACUUAAAGGAAUUGGCGGGGGAGCACCACAACAGGUGGAGCCUGCGGUUUAAUUGGACUCAACGCCGGGAAGCUCACCGGAUAGGACAGACAUAUGAUAGUCGGGCUGAAGACUCUACUUGAUGAUCUGAGAGGAGGUGCAUGGCGUAGACGUCU